rnacentral:rRNA from 1 species
AGACGAGGGAUCCUAGCGUUGUUCGGAAUUAUUGGGCGUAAAGCGGGUGUAGGUGGCUAUGUAAGUUCAAGUGUGAAAGCCUGGGGCUCAACCCCAGAAGUGCAUUUGAUACUGCGUAGCUUGAGUGCUAGAGAGGAUAGUAGAAUUGUUGGUGUAGUGGUGAAAUACGUAGAUAUCAACAGGAAUACCGGUGGCGAAGGCGACUCACUGGCACAAUACUGACGCUGAGGUGCGAAAGCGUGGGGAUC